ACCCCCGUUACAGUUUACUCGUGGACAGCCAUCCUUGAAAGAGUUUAGUAGAGUGGCUCUCGUUCUCGAGAGAAAGUUACUUGCUUUACCAAUGAUGAACCGAAGUAACAACAAUAGUAGGCGAAUUUACGUCGGAAAUUUACCAUCUAAUGUAGAUGAAAGAGAUCUGGAGGAUAUCUUUUACAAAUACGGCGACAUUUCUGACGUUGACUUAAAGAUCCCUCGAUACGGAACUGGUGGCACGCCGUUUGCCUUUGUCGAAUUUAGUGAUCCAAGAGAUGCAGAAGAUGCAGUAAGAGGGAGAGACGGAUAUGAAGUUGAUGGUCAGAGGAUCCGUGUGGAAUUUCCUCGUGGUGGCCGCGGAGGUCGUUCUGGAGGUGGAGGAUUUGGAGGUGGGGGAGGAGGAGGAGGCUAUGGUGGUGGUGGCGGUGGUGGCGGCGGAGGUGGCCGUGGUCCUCCUCCCCGACGUUCUGAUUACCGUGUCAUGGUUUCUGGUUUGCCUCCUACUGGUAGCUGGCAAGAUCUCAAGGAUCAUAUGCGUGAUGCUGGUGAUGUUCAGUUCACAGAUGUUUUUAAAGAUGGAACUGGCAUUGUGGAGUUUUCCCGCUAUGAUGACAUGAAAUAUGCCUUGAAACAUCUGGAUGAUUCUAAGUUCCGCUCCCAUGAGGGUGAAGUUGCAUUCAUUAGAGUCAAACCUGACAAUCCAGGACGUGGUUCACGAAGUCGUAGCAGAUCCCAUUCAAGGAGUCGAUCCCCAAGAAAAAGAUCCCAUUCUCGAUCUCGUAGUCCACGUCGGUCUCCAAGGAAAUCAAAGUCUCCCUCUAGAUCACCAAAGAAGAGAAAAUCAGUCUCUCCAAGGCGUUCCAGAUCCCGUUCUCGUUCCCGUUCAUAGACAUAAACUGUUUGCUGUGGCUGUGAUGUAUUAUUUGUGUUGUGUUGUCACCAAGAAAAUACAGUCACUUUAAACCGUUAGUUGUAGACUCUUAAUAAUUCUUUAAUGUGUGUUUGACUAGUUAGAUCUUUUACUUUUUCAUGGUAUUAUUUUCAGGACAGCACAAGCACUUUCUGAUAUUGGAAAGGCAAGCUAGGAAUGAAACUUGUUUCAACAGUAAUGUUGCUAAAGAAAUCAAACUGGAUAAGGAAACAAUGGAAAUAAAAUGACCCUUGGAACAUUAGGACAUGUUCUUUGGACAUGAUAAAAAGCUGUCGUACAGAGGAGUCCGGAACCUCUCGUGUCAGUCAGUGAUCACGGAUCAUUAGGAUAGGAACUGGAGGUCAGCUCCAGUACAGUUUUGGGACAGAACACCGGAAACAAUCAGGAAAUCAAACAAACAGGAGUCAGUUUUUUGGAACUCUUUCAAUCAUCUGGCUAAGGAUUUGGAUGUUAACUCGUUUGGUAGUUCCAACAAUUUUGGAGGAAAAUCACAGUUUGGGAUGGAGGAAUAGCAAUCACAAUCUUUCAUACAAAAUGGUCUUGUACAGUAUUCUUCUUUGGAGGGUAUCCUAAAUCUGGUAUGAAUUUUAAACAGUCAGUUUUUUUGGAAGACCUCAAAUUUAGCAGAGUGAAAGUUGAUCCCCAAAUUUCCUGAUUCAAAUUUUGAUAAAAUCACAUGUUCAAAAUAUUUUGCACAUAAGGGUGAAGUUUUUCAAUUAGGUUUUUCUCUUUCUCCUCAACCUUUCUUUCCUAGUCAUCCUGCUUGUUUGAUUUUUUACUACUAACUUUUGUGCUUCAGUUGCUGGGUAUGCCAUGCAUAUGUCUCUAUCGUAGGAAUACAAGGGAUUUUAGCUGACACAACAAAAGUGCUUUUGCAUGUAUCAUUUAGUUAUCCAUGCAUAGUGACAACACACUUUGCUCUUCACUUAAAUAAAGUUCUUUUAGUCCAAGAAA
rnacentral:misc_RNA from 1 species